UGGGUCCUUGCUCUUAAACCUUCAAGAUCCAUCAGCAGUCCAGAUAAACACAUGGAUGGAAGUGUCCAUCCUUAUUGUUAUGCUACUUGCCUUGUUAAUGAAGCACGGAUACUUCAGGUUAUAGAUGAAGAUGCCUCAUGUGAACUGCAUCAGCUAAAAUGCCUAACGUAAACAUAAAACCGAGUGCCUCCCUCCCACCCUCACCACUGGUCUGCUUUUUUCCUCACAGCUUUUGCAUCCCACUCUGCCUUUGCUGUGUGGCUCAGCUGUUUUGGAGGAAGUUGUGGGUGCAGAUGAGCUAAAAGUGGACAGUGAGCAGCGGUACGAGACGGACGUCUUACCGGCCCUGUGGAUGGAGACGGGCGAGGUGUCAACGCUGAUGGUCAAAGCUCGCUCCUUCUGCCUGAAGAACUCCCGAGGGUUUCCUGACCGCUGGGCGAUGAUGGCCUUUGCCUCCUACUCCUUCUUGUCCAGGUUGGCGUCCUCACCGCUCGGCUCUGCUGCCUGCAGAGGAAACGAAGAAUAAGGAGGAAGUUUAGGAUGCAUACCAGGAGAUCUGAAGAAGUAAAACAGCAUUUCCAGAGUUUAAACCUAAACAAGGACAGGAAAAUCAUUCAUACUGUACACGUAAUUUUCUGCAGAGACCCCUGGAAGAAUUGAAACACGAGUAAUCAAACACAAAUCUGUAAUCAGAAACCGAAAGGAAUGAUUACAUGAAGCUGCCAGUGAGGGGCGACAGAGUCUGUGUGUUUCUACCAAGAGGAACAGGAGGGGUCAGAGCCAGGGAAAAGCACCAGCAGGCUCAUCUCAGAGAAAAUACUCCACUAUCAGCCCUCUUUGUUCUGAAAUUCCUUAAACAUUUUUCCCUUUCUCCGACAAAAACUUUGUUUUCAGGUUCUUGUUUAUUUUCUGUACUCACACAAUGAAAAAAAAAAAAAAAAAAAAAAAAA